rnacentral:rRNA from 1 species
UAUAGGUGUCACAAGGUUUCGUAUAGGAGCACGUGGAGAAGGAUCAAUAGAGACUUUCUUAGAGUUUGCACACACCUGUGCACGUGUACAUGCCCUUGGGGGUCACACACAAACUCUAGAGUGUUGUCUAUGUAUGUCUAGUUAUUCAUCACGAGUAUCACUUUCCACAGCGUAUCUUUUGUCUCUCGCAUCGAUGAGAGAACGCAGCGAAAUGCUAUAAGUAAUGUGAAUUGCAGAGAAUAGUGUAUCAUCGUAUCUUUGAACGCCCCUUGCCGCCCCGACGGGGCAUGCCGGUUUGAGCGCCUUUUCCUCCUGCUACUAGUGAGUUUUUUCUUACUAGAGCGAUGUGAGUGUUGGUGGCCUUGUUCCCGCUCUCUCUGAAAGUGUUAUUAGCAGCAGUUAGGGUUGUGACACCGUGAUAAGUCGUCCUUUGAAGCAAUGCUGGAGACCGCCGCUCCUAUUCGUCCUUUGGAGAAUAAUCCUAUUGCUGAGGGGUCUAAGCGGUGGGACUCCCCGCUGAACUUUUGCAUAUCAUAUAAGCGGGGGAAAAAAAAAUAAAAAGGGUUUCCCUCUAAACUGUGAGAGAGGCGGGAAAA